rnacentral:rRNA from 1 species
UUAAGCAUAUCAAUAAGCGGAGGAAAAGAAACCAACAGGGAUUACCUCAGUAACGGCGAGUGAAGCGGUAAUAGCUCAAAUUUGAAAUCUGGCUCUNUCAGGGUCCGAGUUGUAAUUUGUAGAAGAUGCUUUGGGUGUGGCUCCGGUCUAAGUUCCUUGGAACAGGACGUCAUAGAGGGUGAGAAUCCCGUAUGUGACCGGUGGCUUUCGUCCGUGUAAAGCUCUUUCGACGAGUCGAGUUGUUUGGGAAUGCAGCUCAAAAUGGGUGGUAAAUUUCAUCUAAAGCUAAAUAUUGGCCAGAGACCGAUAGCGCACAAGUAGAGUGAUCGAAAGAUGAAAAGCACUUUGGAAAGAGAGUUAAACAGUACGUGAAAUUGUUGAAAGGGAAGCGCUUGCAACCAGACUCGCAUGCUGUCGAUCAUCCGGGGUUCUCCCCGGUGCACUCGGUAGUCUACGGGCCAGCAUCGGUUUGGGUGGUGGGAUAAAGACCUUAGGAAUGUAGCUUCUCUCGGGGAGUGUUAUAGCCUUCGGUGCAAUGCCACCUACCCGGACCGAGGACCGCGCUUCGGCUAGGAUGCUGGCGUAAUGGUUGUAAGCGACCCGUCUUGAAACACGGACCAAGGAGUCUAACAUCUAUGCGAGUAUUUGGGUGUUAAACCCAUAUGCGUAAUGAAAGUGAACGGAGGUAAGAGCCCUUAAGGGUGCAUUAUCGACCGAUCCUGAUGUCUUCGGAUGGAUUUGAGUAAGAGCAUAGCUGUUGGGACCCGAAAGAUGGUGAACUAUGCCUAAAUAGGGUGAAGCCAGAGGAAACUCUGGUGGAGGCUCGCAGCGGUUCUGACGUGCAAAUCGAUCGUCAAAUUUGGGUAUAGGGGCGAAAGACUAAUCGAACCAUCUAGUAGCUGGGUUCCUGCCGA